AACGCUAGCUACAGGCUUAACACAUGCAAGUCGAGGGGCAGCAUAGAAGUAGCAAUACUUUGGUGGCGACCGGCGCACGGGUGAGUAACGCGUAUGCAACCUACCUAUCAGAGGGGAAUAACCCGGCGAAAGUCGGACUAAUACCGCAUAAAACAGGGGCACCGCAUGGUGAUAUUUGUUAAAGAGAUUCGCUGAUAGAUGGGCAUGCGUUCCAUUAGGUAGUUGGUGAGGUAACGGCUCACCAAGCCGACGAUGGAUAGGGGAACUGAGAGGUUGGUCCCCCACACUGGUACUGAGACACGGACCAGACUCCUACGGGAGGCAGCAGUGAGGAAUAUUGGUCAAUGGGCGAGAGCCUGAACCAGCCAAGUCGCGUGAAGGAAGAAGGAUCUAUGGUUCGUAAACUUCUUUUGCAGGGGAAUAAAGUGCAGGACGUGUCCUGUUUUGUAUGUACCCUGAGAAUAAGGAUCGGCUAACUCCGUGCCAGCAGCCGCGGUAAUACGGAGGAUCCGAGCGUUAUCCGGAUUUAUUGGGUUUAAAGGGAGCAUAGGUUGACAUAUAAGUCAGCUGUGAAAGUUUACGGCUCAACCGUGAAAUUGCAGUUGAUACUGUAUGUCUUGAGUGUACAAGAGGUGGGCGGAAUUCGUGGUGUAGCGGUGAAAUGCUUAGAUAUCACGAAGAACUCCGAUUG
rnacentral:rRNA from 1 species